UAUGUGAUCGUCUCUCGCAUAUCAAUAAGCGGAGGAAAAGAAACUAACAAGGAUUCCCCUAGUAACGGCGAGUGAAGCGGGAAGAGCUCAAAUUUGAAAUCUUAAAGGGUUUCCCUUUACGAAUUGUAGUUUAAAGAAGUGUUUUCCUGUUGAGGUUUUGGUAAAAGUUCUUUGGAAUAGGACAUCAUAGAGGGUGAGAAUCCCGUAUUUGACCUUUACUUUCAACUUUGUGAUACACUUUCAAAGAGUCGGAUUGUUUGGGAAUGCAGUCCAAAAUGGGUGGUAAAUUUCAUCUAAAGCUAAAUAUUGGCGAGAGACCGAUAGCGAACAAGUACCGUGAGGGAAAGAUGAAAAGAACUUUGAAAAGAGAGUUAAACAGUACGUGAAAUUGUCAAAAGGGAAGCGUUUGACACCAGUGUUGUUUUUCUGAAAAUCAAUUAAAGAACUGUUUAUGCUAAGUUGUUUAGACUUUAUCAGCUAACUGUUUAGUUUUGAGCUUUUCUUUAAUGCACUUUUCAGUUAACAAGUCAACAUCAAUUUCUUUUGCUGUAAAAAAGCUUGAGGAAGGUGGCUUGAGAUUCGUCUUAAGUGUUUAUAGCCUCUUGCCUAUGCAGUCGGAGAGAUUGAGGUCUGCAGCGUAGAUCCUUCGGGGCUAAAUGCAUUUGUGCUAAGUUAUAGCAUUUUAUAGACAACUUGUUGACUAUGAUUUGUCUUGUAGCUUACUCGCUUAUGUUAUUUUACCUACGCUUAGGAUGUUGAACGCGCACAGAGUCUC
rnacentral:rRNA from 1 species